GCCUCUGCGCCUUGCGCUGGAAAGUUGAGAUGUUAAGAGGUGUAAACGUAGCUGCUGUAGUCAUUGCCAAAACUAAUAUUUGUUUACGUACUUUAAACGUACCAAUCAGGACAGUUUGAAAAUUGCAGGACUAUGGCGUCGUUCAGUCGUUUCAUUUGCUAAAAAAGGCUUAGAUGGCCUUGUAAGGGAUUGUUAUUGUUCCCAGUACUUAGAUAUUUAAUUCUGUGCUUACUUUAACAGAAUGACAGUUCUGAUAUAAAGCCAAGUUACUGGACAGCCUACUAGCUGGAUAGCUUGCUAACUAGCUCGCUAGUUUAGUUUGUUACACCAUUUUCACACGCCACGACACACCCACUCAAAACAGCUGGCAUGCAUCAGUACCAUUAGUCCAAUUAUCAAAUCAAAUCAAAUCAAACUUUAUUUGUACGGCGCAUUUCAUACAAGGAAGUAACACAAUGCGCCUCACAGUAGGAAAGAAAAGGGGGGGGGGGGGGGGUUUACAAACACUUGUAAAAAAAAACAAAAAAAACACAGAUUUUCAAGAGAUAAAUGAAUAAAAUAAAAUAAACGUACUAACCGCACUGGCACCGUAAAGGACUACUCAGCACGGUCAUCGUCAAACUAAGCUGCUGGGGGGGGGGGGGGGGGGGGGGGGGUUUACAAACACUUGUAAAGAGACACAGAUAAGUAAAUAAAUAAAUAAAUGUUACAUUAAUGUUAAAUAAAUACAUUUUACAAGUUACAAAACACUUAUAAAAAGACACAGAUUUUGCCAGAGAUAAAUGAACAGGAAAUUACAGACAGAAAUAAGUAAAUAAAUAAAUGUUCCAUAAAUGUUAAAUACAUUUUACAGUGAGUGAUAAGCGAGAUCAAAGAGGUAUGUCUUAAGUGCAUGUUUAAAGGUUUCAACCGUUUCGGCCAUUCUUAGGUAUUCUGGCAGAGUGUUCCAAAGGUUGGGGGCAUAGAAACUAAAAGCUGCUUCCCCAUGUCUCUUUGUCCUGGCUUUUGGAACUGUUAGAAGUUCAGUGCCGGAGGACCUCAGGGAUCUACUGGGUG
ensembl:lncRNA